rnacentral:rRNA from 1 species
UNCCAUGUGUAGCGGUGAAAUGCGUAGAUAUAUGGAGGAACNCCAGUGGCGAAAGCGGCUCUCUGGUCUGUCACUGACGCUGAGGCUNGAAAGCGUGGGUAGCGAACAGGAUUAGAUACCCUGGUAGUCCACGCCGUAAACGAUGAGUGCUAGGUGUUAGGCCCUUUCCGGGGCUUAGUGCCGGAGCUAACGCAAUAAGCACUCCGCCUGGGGAGUACGACCGCAAGGUUGAAACUCAAAGGAAUUGACGGGGGCCCGCACAAGCGGUGGAGCAUGUGGUUUAAUUCGAAGCAACGCGAAGAACCUUACCAGGUCUUGACAUCCCGAUGCUAUUCUUAGAGAUAGGAAGUUACUUCGGUACAUCGGAGACAGGUGGUGCAUGGUUGUCGUCAGCUCGUGUCGUGAGAUGUUGGGUUAAGUCCCGCAACGAGCGCAACCCUUAUUGUUAGUUGCCAUCAUUAAGUUGGGCACUCUAGCGAGACUGCCGGUAAUAAACCGGAGGAAGGUGGGGAUGACGUCAAAUCAUCAUGCCCCUUAUGACCUGGGCUACACACGUGCUACAAUGGUCGGUACAACGAGUUGCGAGCCGGUGACGGCAAGCUAAUCUCUGAAAGCCGAUCUCAGUUCGGAUUGGAGGCUGCAACUCGCCUCCAUGAAGUCGGAAUCGCUAGUAAUCGCGGAUCAGCACGCCGCGGUGAAUACGUUCCCGGGCCUUGUACACACCGCCCGUCACACCACGAGAGUUUGUAACACCCGAAGUCGGUGAGGUANCCUUUUAGGG